CCAGCCACACUGGAACUGAGACACGGUCCAGACUCCUACGGGAGGCAGCAGUGGGGAAUAUUGCACAAUGGGCGCAAGCCUGAUGCAGCCAUGCCGCGUGUAUGAAGAAGGCCUUCGGGUUGUAAAGUACUUUCAGCGGGGAGGAAGGGAGUAAAGUUAAUACCUUUGCUCAUUGACGUUACCCGCAGAAGAAGCACCGGCUAACUCCGUGCCAGCAGCCGCGGUAAUACGGAGGGUGCAAGCGUUAAUCGGAAUUACUGGGCGUAAAGCGCACGCAGGCGGUUUGUUAAGUCAGAUGUGAAAUCCCCGGGCUCAACCUGGGAACUGCAUCUGAUACUGGCAAGCUUGAGUCUCGUAGAGGGGGGUAGAAUUCCAGGUGUAGCGGUGAAAUGCGUAGAGAUCUGGAGGA
rnacentral:rRNA from 1 species